GAUUUCGGCGUCAGACCUAUGAGGCAGGUAGGGAGGGGUUCUUCCUAACAUCCUCAUCUUACAAAUGGAAACGGAGGCACAGGGAGGGAUGAUGGAUUCACACCUGCCUCGGCCAUGCACCCCAUCACAAAACCAGAAGCCUAGGAGUGCUCCUGUCAUCUUGAUUUUUCUCUCACAUCAGUGAUUCCAAAAUAAGGACUUAACCUGUGUGCUUCUCUUCUUCUCGCUGUCCCCACCCACCAGAGUCUCCCACCUGGACUGUUACCAUUGCCUCCUAACUGACCUUCCUACUUGCAUGCCUGUCAUCAUCUGCCCAUUUUCAACAUGCCUUCCAGAAGACAAAAUCUAUACUUAUCAGCUGAAGUUUGCAUAAAAUGCUCCAGUGCCUUCCACUUGCACCCAGGAUUCAAUCCAAAGCCCCUCCCAGGGCUGCCCAGGCUGUUUCCCCAACCUCCUUAGGGCCAUCUCCUCCUGGCUCCUACCCUCCUUGGCCCACUGCUGCCCCCGGAUCACACCCAGCUCCUCCCAGGACCUCAGCCCUGGCUGCUCCAGACCUUCCACUUGGUCCCUUGCCUUCUGUCAGUUCCCAAAGGUCAUCUUCCCAGAGAGACCCUCCCUGACCCUGGGUAAACUGCGUCUCCCUAUGCUGCUCCAGCCAGCACCCUGUUGACUCCCCUCACAAUGCUAACAAGCAUCUGCAUUCCAUUUGCAUUUGUGGUUGUUUGCUUGUUUGUUCUGUCUCCCCCACUAGACAUUCCAGGAAGGUGA
rnacentral:lncRNA from 1 species